CGGACGGGUGAGUAACGCGUGGAUAACCUGCCGUAUACAGGGGGAUAACACUUAGAAAUAGGUGCUAAUACCGCAUAAGCGCACGGUUCCGCAUGGAACAGUGUGAAAAAACUCCGGUGGUAUACGAUGGAUCCGCGUCUGAUUAGCCAGUUGCGGGGUAACGGCCCACCAAAGCGACGAUCAGUAGCCGGCCUGAGAGGGUGGACGGCCACAUUGGACUGAGACACGGCCCAG
rnacentral:rRNA from 1 species